CCAAUAGCGUAUAUUAAAGUUGCUGCAGUUAAAAAGCUCGUAGUUGAAUUUCGGGACUAAUAUGUCGGCCGUGCCUCGGUACGUACUGGUAUUUUUGGUUUCUCCCUUCUGACGAACCUUGAUGUCAUUAAUUUGGUGUCUUGGGAAAUCAGGACUGUUACUUUGAAAAAAUUAGAGUGUUUAAAGCAGGCUCACGCUUGAAUACAUUAGCAUGGAAUAAUGAAAUAGGACGUUUGAUUCUAUUUUGUUGGUUUCUAGGAUCGACGUAAUGAUUAAUAGGGAUAGUUGGGGGCAUUAGUAUUCAAUUGUCAGAGGUGAAAUUCUUGGAUUUAUUGAAGACUAACUACUGCGAAAGCAUUUGCCAAGGAUGUUUUCAUUAAUCAAGAACGAAAGUUAGGGGAUCGAAGACGAUCAGAUACCGUCGUAGUCUUAACCAUAAACUAUGCCGACUAGGGAUCGGAUGAUGUUAAUUUUUUAAUGACUCAUUCGGCGCCUUACG
rnacentral:rRNA from 1 species